rnacentral:lncRNA from 1 species
GUACACCCUCUCCAGCUUCUUCCCCGUCUUCUUCUCCCACAGCGCCACCAGCUCCUCGUGCGACACCGCGUUCUUCGCCGGCCGUAUGUUCACCGUCUUGUUCUCCGCCCGCGGAUCCACCGCCGCCAGCACCGUGUACGUCCCGAUGUCCCCCUCCUCCACGAACACCACCUUGGUGGCUCCGUCCCCGAGGAUCACCACGCUAUCCACCGGCCGCGCCGGCGGCAGGUUCUGCCCGAUCGUCGGCAGCGCGUAGCCGGCGAAGUAGUUGGACACCACGUACGUGUACGGCACUCCCGCCGCCUCCACGGCGCGCCGCACGGCGGCCUUCCCGGUGAAGAUGGACCUGGCCGGCUCCACCGCGCCCGUGUGGUCCGGGUCCAGCCCGAACUCCGACGGCAGGAACCUCCGCACGUUGCCACCGCCGCCCUCCUUGAUGGCGGCGAUGAGCUUGGUCUGGUCGGCGAUCUGCAGCGCGCCCAGCGUGGAGAUGACGACGUCGGCGUCGCGGACGGCGCUGAGCAGGCUGGCGUGGUCGUAGAGGUCGCCGUGGAGGAGGGUGACGCCGGCGUCGCGGAAGCUCUGGAGAAGCUGCGACUUGGCGGGGUCGGAGGGGGAGAGGUCCCUGACGAGGGCGGUGGUGGGAUGACCCAGCCGCGCGCUGGCCAAGACGACGUGCCGGCCGAUGUACCCCGUGCCGCCCACCACCAGGAUCCUGCUCUUCUUCUCCUCGCCACCGGACGCCAUUGUUCUAGCGAUCUACCUAGUACAAGUAGAG